rnacentral:rRNA from 1 species
UUGAAGAGUUUGAUCAUGGCUCAGAUUGAACGCUGGCGGCAGGCCUAACACAUGCAAGUCGAGCGGUAGCACAGAGAGCUUGCUCUCGGGUGACGAGCGGCGGACGGGUGAGUAAUGUCUGGGAAACUGCCUGAUGGAGGGGGAUAACUACUGGAAACGGUAGCUAAUACCGCAUAAYGUCGCAAGACCAAAGUGGGGGACCUUCGGGCCUCAUGCCAUCAGAUGUGCCCAGAUGGGAUUAGCUAGUAGGUGGGGUAACGGCUCACCUAGGCGACGAUCCCUAGCUGGUCUGAGAGGAUGACCAGCCACACUGGAACUGAGACACGGUCCAGACUCCUACGGGAGGCAGCAGUGGGGAAUAUUGCACAAUGGGCGCAAGCCUGAUGCAGCCAUGCCGCGUGUGUGAAGAAGGCCUUCGGGUUGUAAAGCACUUUCAGCGGGGAGGAAGGCGWUAAGGUUAAUAACCUUGKCGAUUGACGUUACCCGCAGAAGAAGCACCGGCUAACUCCGUGCCAGCAGCCGCGGUAAUACGGAGGGUGCAAGCGUUAAUCGGAAUUACUGGGCGUAAAGCGCACGCAGGCGGUCUGUCAAGUCGGAUGUGAAAUCCCCGGGCUCAACCUGGGAACUGCAUUCGAAACUGGCAGGCUAGAGUCUUGUAGAGGGGGGUAGAAUUCCAGGUGUAGCGGUGAAAUGCGUAGAGAUCUGGAGGAAUACCGGUGGCGAAGGCGGCCCCCUGGACAAAGACUGACGCUCAGGUGCGAAAGCGUGGGGAGCAAACAGGAUUAGAUACCCUGGUAGUCCACGCCGUAAACGAUGUCGAUUUGGAGGUUGUGCCCUUGAGGCGUGGCUUCCGGAGCUAACGCGUUAAAUCGACCGCCUGGGGAGUACGGCCGCAAGGUUAAAACUCAAAUGAAUUGACGGGGGCCCGCACAAGCGGUGGAGCAUGUGGUUUAAUUCGAUGCAACGCGAAGAACCUUACCUGGUCUUGACAUCCACAGAACUUWSCAGAGAUGSWUUGGUGCCUUCGGGAACUGUGAGACAGGUGCUGCAUGGCUGUCGUCAGCUCGUGUUGUGAAAUGUUGGGUUAAGUCCCGCAACGAGCGCAACCCUUAUCCUUUGUUGCCAGCGGUUMGGCCGGGAACUCAAAGGAGACUGCCAGUGAUAAACUGGAGGAAGGUGGGGAUGACGUCAAGUCAUCAUGGCCCUUACGACCAGGGCUACACACGUGCUACAAUGGCAUAUACAAAGAGAAGCGACCUCGCGAGAGCAAGCGGACCUCAUAAAGUAUGUCGUAGUCCGGAUUGGAGUCUGCAACUCGACUCCAUGAAGUCGGAAUCGCUAGUAAUCGUAGAUCAGAAUGCUACGGUGAAUACGUUCCCGGGCCUUGUACACACCGCCCGUCACACCAUGGGAGUGGGUUGCAAAAGAAGUAGGUAGCUUAACCUUCGGGAGGGCGCUUACCACUUUGUGAUUCAUGACUGGGGUGAAGUCGUAACAAGGUAACCGUAGGGGAACCUGCGGUUGGAUCACCUCCUU